UGGGGAAUAUUGCACAAUGGGCGCAAGCCUGAUGCAGCGACGCCGCGUGAGGGAUGACGGCCUUCGGGUUGUAAACCUCUUUCAGCAGGGACGAAGCGCAAGUGACGGUACCUGCAGAAGAAGCACCGGCCAACUACGUGCCAGCAGCCGCGGUAAUACGUAGGGUGCGAGCGUUGUCCGGAAUUACUGGGCGUAAAGAGCUCGUAGGCGGUUUGUCGCGUCGUCUGUGAAAUUCUGCAGCUUAACUGCAGGCGUGCAGGCGAUACGGGCAGACUUGAGUACUACAGGGGAGACUGGAAUUCCUGGUGUAGCGGUGAAAUGCGCAGAUAUCAGGAGGAACACCGGUGGCGAAGGCGGGUCUCUGGGUAGUAACUGACGCUGAGGAGCGAAAGCGUGGGUAGCGAACAGGAUUAGAUACCCUGGUAGUCCACGCCGUAAACGGUGGGUACUAGGUGUGGGUUCCAUUUCACGGGAUCCGUGCCGUAGCUAACGCAUUAAGUACCCGCCUGGGGAGUACGGCCGCAAGGCUAAAACUCAAAUGAAUUGACGGGGUCAUAGCUG
rnacentral:rRNA from 1 species